CCGUAAAUGACCUCCAUGCUCAGCCACGCAUUAGCAACCCCUAAUUAGAAAAUUAUUCAUUGCAGCCUGAAAUCGGAAUUGCCUCAAAUAUCGAUUUAAUGGACUGCUAUCAAAAAAUUCUGAUGAAGUCAGGUCAGGGGACCUUGGAGACCAGCGUUACUGUGACCGGUUUCUUCGAAGAAGUCUGGGCCGACAAUACAACCUGAGGAAACUGCGCACCACACAAUGACUAGUUCUGGGUGAAAUUCCGUCUCGUGCAUUAUUUAUGAAUUUGAUUCGAAGAAUGAAGCGGCACUUUUGUUUGUUAAUAUUUCCGUUAAGAUCAAAAUGCGCCUCAUUAGACCUAAACAGGCAAUUUAUUAAGUUAUUGUCUUCUUCAACCAUUUCAAUAAUUUUUUGCAAAAUUCCAGGCGAUUUGGCAAACGUAGAGGGUUUAACUGGUUUGUUAUUUGAGUUUUGUACGGAAACAGGUUUAAGUCAUCAUUAAUUAUCCCUUGUAAUAAUUGACUGCUAACUCCAAGUUGCGCCGAUAAGUUGCUCAUGGAGGUGAGUCCAAAAUCAGGAUUAAAAUAUUUUUAGACGGAAAUAUCAGAGUGGAAAACAUGGUACCGCUGCACUAUCGAAAUCCCAUUUUCGCUAUAUAAUAUUUUAUUGCAUGAAAAAUAGGCGGCAGUAAAUGUGUAAAAUGAACUUUUAAUUUAAUUGAGACAAUUUAUAACCCUUUACGGCGGCGAAAACACUUAAUGGAGUAAACAAAAAAUCAACAACGCAACUUGCGAAGUCAUUAUAAAAAGGCGCACAAACUGCUGCAAAAUAAUAAAUGGAAUGAAAUUAUACGAAAUCGCGGUUAAUGUGUGCAGCAAACGAGUCACGCGAAAGGUUUAACAUUUCAUAGGCAUUUCCAAAUAUAUCGCAUAUAUAUGUGGGUAUCAAGUUUCUGCAGCCUAUUUCGCAACCCUUGAGUGUUUGCUUAUAAUACAAGCAACUGCUUACUAAAUAAUUAAAAACUGAAAACGUAUAAGCAGUAGUUAUUUAUAACAGAGGGUCAGUCGAGCGAUUAAAAAGGAGGAAGCAUCACAUUUCAACAUUCAGAUAAAAAUAUAUUUCUACCAUUUCGUUAUCGGCAAAUCAGACGGAAAGAUACUGUUGCUUAGUGCUUUUCAAGGUGUGAAAUGCUUUCUGCCGCACUCAAACUAUAUAGUUCUUAUAUAAUUUAAAUUUACCGCUGCGGCU